CCUACGGGUGGCAGCAGUAGGGAAUAUUGCUCAAUGGGGGAAACCCUGAAGCAGCAAAGCCGCGUGAAGGAUGAAGGUUUUAGGAUUGUAAACUCUUUUUGUUAGAGAAGUUUAUGACGGUAUCUAACGAAUAAGCACCGGCUAACUCCGUGCCAGCAGCCGCGGUAAUACGGAGGGAGCAAGCGUUACUCGGAAUCACUGGGCGUAAGGGGUGCGUAGGGGGGGUAAUAAGUCAGAUGUGAAAUCCUGUAGCUUAACUACAGAACUGCAUUUGAAACUGUUACCAUUGAGUGUGGGAGAGGUAGGUGGAAUUCUUGGUGUAGGGGUAAAAUCCGUAGAGAUCAAGAGGAAUACUGAUUGCGAAGGCGACCUGCUGGAACAUUACUGACGCUGAUGCACGAAAGCGUGGGGAGCAAACAGGAUUAGAUACCCGGGUAGUC
rnacentral:rRNA from 1 species